AUGGGUGCUACUAUUGAUCAUUCAUUAGAUGGUACUCGUGGGCCUAAGAUUUUCCAAAUAAGUGGACAGGUAUCCCAUCAUAUAGGGUCGCUCUUGCCGAAAGGCGAUGAUGACCCUAAAUUUGCUGAGAUGUAUAUACAUGAUCCAUCUAACGAGAUCGAGCAUAGAAUGCGUGCUUUAAAUCCAGACGAUAAGCUCGAUGGAAAUAUCGAUAGGGAUAUAGUUGUUGGUCUAAGGGACAUGCUUAAUGACUUCAAUCCGUUAGUGCAUACCUUUAGAGAGGCGAGCAGUAUUAUAGAGAAUCCUGGUGAUGGGCCUAUUGAGGAAAUUUCGAUUCGUAUAAUUGGUCCUUUGGACGGUGAUGGUCCACAGUAUAGCCUGCCUACUACUGCUGGGCUUGCUGCUUUGAUUGUUGGCGAUUUUACUGGAGAGAGGUCUUCCCGGGACAUAGUAAUUUCUAGCCGUUCUGAAGGUCUUAAGCAGAUCUCUUCUUUGAACACUGCUUUUAUGCCUUUGCAAUACCCAUUGCUUUUUCCUUAUGGAGAGAGGGGGUUCCAGAUAGAUGUUCCUCAUUUGAUUGUCCUUGCGGAUGAUGGUGGGAAGAAAAAUAAGAUGACCAUGCAAGAUUAUUAUCGUUUUAUGUGUCAUUAUAAGGGUGAUCAGCCCAAUCCAUACCUGUGCUAUGGCCUGCUGUCUUCUCAGUCCGUUGUGGAUGCACGUGCAUGCAUCGAUGAGAACAGGCUUUGGUAUAUAUAUUGA
rnacentral:rRNA from 1 species